AGGUUAGGACUUUUGCAAUAUUUUGAUAUUAUUUAAUAUUGCACUCGUCCCGGCCUGU
rnacentral:pre_miRNA from 1 species